CCUACGGGAGGCUGCAGUGAGGAAUCUUGCGCAAUGGGGGAAACCCUGACGCAGCCAUGCCGCGUGAAUGAUGAAGGUCUUAGGAUUGUAAAAUUCUUUCAGCGGGGACGAUAAUGACGGUACCCGCAGAAGAAGCCCCGGCUAACUUCGUGCCAGCAGCCGCGGUAAUACGAAGGGGGCUAGCGUUGCUCGGAAUUACUGGGCGUAAAGGGCGCGUAGGCGGAUGUUUAAGUCAGAGGUGAAAGCCCAGGGCUCAACCUUGGAACUGCCUUUGAUACUGGGCAUCUUGAGUACGGGAGAGGUGAGUGGAACUCCGAGUGUAGAGGUGAAAUUCGUAGAUAUUCGGAAGAACACCAGUGGCGAAGGCGACUCACUGGCCCGUUACUGACGCUGAGGCGCGAAAGCGUGGGGAGCAAACAGGCUUAGAUACCCCUGUAGUC
rnacentral:rRNA from 1 species